rnacentral:rRNA from 1 species
AUGAAACUGGUCAAAACCUGCUUGCGCAAUUGCCUCAAUGAUGAUAGUUUGAGUGAUGAUCUUAUUUGUUAUGUGGAGAAAGAAGAAAUGAAAAAGGUCACCAAUGCUCAAGUGGUUGAGUAUUUCAUGGCUCGGAGGAACAGAACGUACUAA